AGGGAUUGCCUCAGUAACGGCGAGUGAAGCGGCAACAGCUCAAAUUUGAAAUCUGGCUCCUUCGGGGCCCGAGUUGUAAUUUGCAGAGGAUGCGUCGGGUACGGGUGCCUUCCGAGUUCCCUGGAACGGGACGCCAUAGAGGGUGAGAGCCCCGUCUGGUAGGAUACCCAGCCCGUGUGACGCUCCCUCGACGAGUCGAGUAGUUUGGGAAUGCUGCUCUAACGGGAGGUAUACUCCUUCCAAGGCUAAAUACCGGCUGGAGACCGAUAGCGCACAAGUAGAGUGAUCGAAAGAUGAAAAGCACUUUGAAAAGAGAGUCAAACAGCACGUGAAAUUGUUAAAAGGGAAGCGCUCGCUACCAGACUUGGGUUCGGCGGUUCAACCGGGGCCACGCCCCGGGGCAUUCCGCCGGCCCAGGCCAGCAUCAGCUUUCCGUCGGGGGUAAAGGCGUCGGGAAUGUGGCUCCCCUUCGGGGGAGUGUUAUAGCCCGUCGUGUCAUACCCUUCGGGGGGCUGAGGUACGCGCUUCUGCAAGGAUGCUGGCGUAAUGGUAGCUAGUGACCCGUCUUGAACACGGACCAAA
rnacentral:rRNA from 1 species